AUCCGGCUGACGAGCUCGAAAUAGGACGAAAUUCGCGUCCUGGAU
rnacentral:hammerhead_ribozyme from 1 species